rnacentral:rRNA from 1 species
GACGAACGCUGGCGGCGUGCCUAAUACAUGCAAGUCGAACGAGAGCAACCGGUGCUUGCACUGGUCAAUCUAGUGGCGAACGGGUGAGUAACACGUGGGUAACCUGCCCAUCAGAGGGGGAUAACAUCCGGAAACGGAUGCUAAAACCGCAUAGGUCUUCGAACCGCAUGGUUUGAAGAGGAAAAGAGGCGCAAGCUUCUGCUGAUGGAUGGACCCGCGGUGCAUUAGCUAGUUGGUGAGGUAACGGCUCACCAAGGCCGUGAUGCAUAGCCGACCUGAGAGGGUGAUCGGCCACAUUGGGACUGAGACACGGCCCAGACUCCUACGGGAGGCAGCAGUAGGGAAUCUUCCGCAAUGGACGCAAGUCUGACGGAGCAACGCCGCGUGAGUGAAGAAGGUUUUCGGAUCGUAAAACUCUGUUGUUAGGGAAGAACAAGUGCUAGAGUAACUGUUAGCGCCUUGACGGUAUCUAACCAGAAAGCCACGGCUAACUACGUG